GGCCAAUUUCUGUCUGAGCUAAGUCAGACAAAGACCACUGAGCCAACAGACAUCAGAUGCCUUUGUGUUCGGGGACUGCCAAUCAUCUUGAGGGAUGAGCCUUCUGCCUUCUUCAAGACCUGCACCGAUGCGGCUGAUAAGGAGGUGUACAGUCAAACUGCCGGAGAAAAUCCUCAGCUCAACCCCAUCCAUUGUGGCAAUCGUC